rnacentral:rRNA from 1 species
UACGAAGGGGGCUAGCGUUGCUCGGAAUUACUGGGCGUAAAGGGCGCGUAGGCGGCCUUCUAAGUCGAACGUGAAAUCCCCCGGCUUAACCUGGGAACUGCGUCUGAUACUGGAGGGCUUGAGUGCGGGAGAGGGAUGUGGAAUUCCAGGUGUAGCGGUGAAAUGCGUAGAUAUCUGGAGGAACACCGGUGGCGAAGGCGGCAUCCUGGACCGACACUGACGCUGAGGCGCGAAAGCUAGGGUAGCAAACGGGG